rnacentral:rRNA from 1 species
UGGGGAAUAUUGCACAAUGGGGGAAACCCUGAUGCAGCGACGCCGCGUGAAGGAAGAAGUAUCUCGGUAUGUAAACUUCUAUCAGCAGGGAAGAAAAUGACGGUACCUGACUAAGAAGCCCCGGCUAACUACGUGCCAGCAGCCGCGGUAAUACGUAGGGGGCAAGCGUUAUCCGGAUUUACUGGGUGUAAAGGGAGCGCAGACGGUAAUGCAAGUCUGAAGUGAAAGCCCGGGGCCCAACCCCGGGACUGCUUUGGAAACUGUGUAACUGGAGUACAGGAGGGGCAGGCGGAAUUCCUGGUGUAGCGGUGAAAUGCGUAGAUAUCAGGAGGAACACCGGCGGCGAAGGCGGCCUGCUGGACUGAAACUGACGUUGAGGCUCGAAAGCGUGGGGAGCAAACAGGAUUAGAUACCC